GGGAAUCCUUCUUCAGCCUCUUGCUCUGAGGUCUGACACUGGACCUGAGAAAAUGAUGCUGGUCCUGGCUGUGGGAGGGCUGGAGGGCAGCCGGGGCCUGGGCUAAGCUGGGGUUUGGCGGGGGGCUGCUGGUAGUGUUGCUGUUGAUGAUCUUUUCUUCUUUCUUUGUGCUGCUGCUGCCUGGAGCUGCCUCUCCUCCUCCUCCUGCCCCUUCUUCUUCCAGGGACUCCUCAUCUCCUCCUGCUCUCUUGCCCAGCUUUUUCACCCCUUCCUCCCCGCCGCUCUCGCCCAGUUUCACUGUCAUCCUGCCGCAUCAACGCCGCCGCGCAGCCUCCGUGCUCCGGCUCUCCCGGCGGCGGCCGCUCCGGCUCCCCCGGCUCCAGGCACCCCCAGACUGCGCCUCGCAGCCGCCAGCUCCGGGGGAGGCCGGCGCGCCCCGCGACCCCCGCGGCCUCCAGCGGCCCUCCCAGCGCUGCCGGCAGCAGCGGCAGCGCUUCCCGGCCGGAGAGGCGACCUCUCGUCCCCGGCUCCCCCACAACCACGGCACCGCUGGCCGGAGCCGCGGCUCCCUGGCGCCCCGGCUCGGCCCUUACGCGGGCCGCGAUGGGUCCGGGCCGC
rnacentral:lncRNA from 1 species